rnacentral:rRNA from 1 species
UACAGAGGUCUCAAGCGUUGUUCGGAUUCAUUGGGCGUAAAGGGUGUGUAGGUGGCGCGCUAAGUCGGGUGUGAAAUUUCGGAGCUUAACUCCGAAACUGCAUUCGAUACUGGCGUGCUUGAGGACUGGAGAGGAGACUGGAAUUCAUGGUGUAGCAGUGAAAUGCGUAGAGAUCAUGAGGAAGACCAGUGGCGAAGGCGGGUCUCUGGACAGUUCCUGACGCUGAGAAGCGAAAGCAUGGGGAGCGAACAGG